CUCCGGUGAUGAGCUCCUGUUUGUGCCACGUGUCUGGGCCACUGAUCCACAGUGAUGGGAAUGAGGGACUGAGGAG